rnacentral:piRNA from 1 species
UGGUUGACCAACAAGCUUGUGG